GAAUCAUAUCGAUUGGUUCAACAGGAACUCUAUCGGAAGCUCUGACACCAUGUCCUGUCUUCGUACCAUCUUCGUUUUCGCUCUCAUCUUUGGUACCGUGGCUCUUCGAGCUGAAGCUGCACCGGGGCCUCUGCCGGGAGCAGAAGGGAAUGCCGUGCGCGUGCG